rnacentral:misc_RNA from 1 species
CACCACUCAAGCCUGGCUUGGUGUUGGGCGACGUACCCUUGGGGACGCGCCUCGAAACGCUCGGCGGCGUGGCACCGGCUUUAAGCGUAGCAGAAUCUUUCGCUUUGAAGGUCGGGGCCCCGUCUGCCGGAAGACCUACUCGCAA